UGUGGGAGCGAGCCUGCUCGCGAUAGCGGUGUGUCAGUUAACAAUUUUUCGACUGACACUCCCUCAUCGCGAGCAGGCUCGCUCCCACA
rnacentral:misc_RNA from 1 species